UACGUAGGGUGCAAGCGUUGUCCGGAAUUAUUGGGCGUAAAGAGCUCGUAGGCGGUUCGUCGCGUCGGCUGUGAAAUCCCGAGGCUCAACUUCGGGUCUGCAGUCGAUACGGGCGGACUGGAGUACUGCAGGGGAGACUGGAAUUCCUGGUGUAGCGGUGAAAUGCGCAGAUAUCAGGAGGAACACCGGUGGCGAAGGCGGGUCUCUGGGCAGUUACUGACGCUGAGGGACGAAAGCUAGGGGAGCGAAUGGG
rnacentral:rRNA from 1 species